rnacentral:rRNA from 1 species
CCAGUGUGAUUCGUCACACUAUCAUUAACUGAAUCCAUAGGUUAAUGAGGCGAACCGGGGGAACUGAAACAUCUAAGUACCCCGAGGAAAAGAAAUCAACCGAGAUUCCCCCAGUAGCGGCGAGCGAACGGGGAGCAGCCCAGAGCCUGAAUCAGUGUGUGUGUUAGUGGAAGCGUCUGGAAAGGCGUGCGAUACAGGGUGACAGCCCCGUACACAAAAAUGCACAUACUGUGAGCUCGAUGAGUAGGGCGGGACACGUGGUAUCCUGUCUGAAUAUGGGGGGACCAUCCUCCAAGGCUAAAUACUCCUGACUGACCGAUAGUGAACCAGUACCGUGAGGGAAAGGCGAAAAGAACCCCGGCGAGGGGAGUGAAAAAGAACCUGAAACCGUGUACGUACAAGCAGUGGGAGCACGCUUAGGCGUGUGACUGCGUACCUUUUGUAUAAUGGGUCAGCGACUUAUAUUCUGUAGCAAGGUUAACCGAAUAGGGGAGCCGAAGGGAAACCGAGUCUUAACUGGGCGUUAAGUUGCAGGGUAUAGACCCGAAACCCGGUGAUCUAGCCAUGGGCAGGUUGAAGGUUGGGUAACACUAACUGGAGGACCGAACCGACUAAUGUUGAAAAAUUAGCGGAUGACUUGUGGCUGGGGGUGAAAGGCCAAUCAAACCGGGAGAUAGCUGGUUCUCCCCGAAAGCUAUUUAGGUAGCGCCUCGUGAAUUCAUCUCCGGGGGUAGAGCACUGUUUCGGCAAGGGGGUCAUCCCGACUUACCAACCCGAUGCAAACUGCGAAUACCGGAGAAUGUUAUCACGGGAGACACACGGCGGGUGCUAACGUCCGUCG